rnacentral:rRNA from 1 species
CGUAGGAUGCAAGCGUUGUUCGGAAUUACUGGGCGUAAAGAGUACGUAGGCGGUAUGGUAAGUCUGAUAUUAAAAGACCGGAGCUCAACUCCGGGACUGUAUCGGAAACUGCCAAACUAGAGGACAAUAGAGGAAGUGGGAAUUCUCAGUGUAGCGGUGAAAUGCGUAGAUAUUGGGAAGAACACCAGUGGCGAAAGCGCACUUCUGGGUUGUUACUGACGCUGAGGUACGAAAGCGUGGGGAGCAAACGGGAUUAGAUACCCCGGUAGUCCACGCUGUAAACGAUGGAUACUAGGUGUAGCCGGUCUCGACCCCGGCUGUGCCGCAGCUAACGCAUUAAGUAUCCCGCCUGGGGAGUAUGGCCGCAAGGUUG